CUUCAAAGCCCCUCAAGUUUCAGGUUGAUGCCAGUGAGGUGGGGGUUGGAGCUGUUCUUCUUCAAGACGACAAGGAGUGAGUCGUCCUAUCUUCUUCUGAAUACAGGGAUCCAGCUGAAAGAAUGAAUCUAUCUCACCUGACUGGCUUAGCACCUCAUCCAGUGCUGCCUUAUCUGAAUGUCUACAUGUCAGCCUCCAAGCCUGGCAGUUGUACAUGUCUGUGUGUGCAGGCAAAUUUGUGAAAGGCAAAUCUGAAAAUAACUCAGCAGGAUGAGAUAAUAUGCAGGACUCCCCCAAACUAAUAUGGGUCUCCUUUGUUUCCGCCCCCUCUGUCUGUAAAUCCAAAUGGGAGUUCUGUUUGUACCUGAAGUUGAAAUUUCGGUGUUCCAGUAUAGAAAAAUCAACACAAAAAUCACAUAAGGUUGUAUUUCCUAAUUAGAAGGUUGAAGGUUCCUCAUCAGCCUAGACCUCUAAACCCAUAAUGGCUGCUGCAUGUACAAAGGAUACUGAUAGCUGUAGAAGUAUGACAGGUAAUUUGAAAUCACACCAGACUGUACAACCUGUAUGAAUGAACACAUUGCUACAGUGGUCCAGUGUAUACAACGCUAGGAAACCCAUCAUUUUUCCCUGGUGUUGAUAAUGGUGGUUACCAGUACCAUCACAAAUCCCACAGUUUUUCUUACUUCUAGCUGGAACACAGUUGGCUGUUAUGACAAUUACAGAUCCGAGUUUUGACUUUGUAAGUAGUUGAAACCCACCAUAUAUCUCAGUUGGUUCUCUGUCCCAUGUUCUUGGCUUACUUUAACCUUAUGUAACUGAUUUAUUUCCAUUUUCUUUCAGAAGUAAAAAAAUAACCAAUAAAGUAAAAGCUGUUUCUCUUU